AUGGCGACCGGCCGCAGCACAGUUGGAGGUGCCACCAUGGAGUCCUCUGCCGGGGACGCCGCCCAAGUGCUCGUCAAGGCCCGCUGCUCCUUCUUCCUCCUUUUCCUCAAAUUCAAGGGCAAUCAGCAGCACACGCCAUCCUCAAGGCGCAUGGUUCUUCUCUUCUCUGAUGGAUGGAUGGAUGGGUGGAUGGGUUGGUCGUGGAGGAGGAGAACGACCAGAAGAAUAGAGUCCCGUCUCUUCUCUUCUCUUCAUCAAUGCCGGCCAGGAACAACGACCCAGCCACCCCUCAAGGGAAGGUGUCUUUGUUUACUAGUACUUGAGAGGGAAUUGGAAGUAGUUUGUCAACUGAAGCUUGGUGCUGCUCGACACCAAGGAGAGGCGCAAGGGGGUGCCUAG
rnacentral:rRNA from 1 species